AAUGCCACCAGGGUCUCAGUAACAAUGAAAGUUCUGUUUUCUUAAAACAUUUCUGAUAAAGACGUAUUCAGUGUGAACACCAUCAAUAAAAUAUGUAUAGAUUUAUUACCAUUAGGAACAAAGGUAAGCAUUAAUAUAUGACAAAACCAAACAGUCAUGAUUAGAGGCGCUCGAUUCAGAUGAUUUUAUUUCUCGAUUAAACCUGACGUGAAGGCGUUUUCAGUUUGCAUAGAAUUAUCAUGAUAUUUUAGUGUCACCAUCUGGGAAGCGCCAUUGGUCGGGUGGAAAGGUUAAUAGUCAUAUGGAUCUUGUUGUUAUAUGUCAUGAAAUAGCUCGGACUUGACACGUGAGAUAUUACAUUAAUAUCCAUGGAGUUGAAUUAACAUCAACCGUGUUGCAUUGCCACUUACACUGUCCACGUCUAUCCAAAUGUACUGUAACACUGUACUAGUUUCUGUUCCGUUCAUCCGACACUUAAGACGAAUGCCAGGUGAAAACACACACUUGAUAAUAUUUAUACGAUGAACCCCAGUAGAAGCAGGUAAGUACCAGAAUAUAGAAUCAAGAAGGAAUUGUAUCUAAAGUAAAGCACAGUCAUGUGUAUAAUUGCCCUGUCCAGAUUUUUCCAUAUCAGCUGAGCUGACUAAGAGAGUGACAAGAAACAAGGUUCUGCAAAAAGCAUUCUGACUCAAGCUUCCCAAAAUGCUGGCCAUAAGUUAGGCUAGUAUGGAAUAUAAAAAACAGCCAGAAUUAAGACUUGAUCGAAAUGGAAGGUAUAUAAGUGUGUGUUUCAAGAGCUUUUGUUUAUUCCAGUGAUUUUGUUUUGCUUCUAUAGAACAAAAGGCAGAAGAGCACAAUUUGCUUCUCUUCAUCCACUUCCUGGCUCAGUUUGUGUUUGUGUGUGUGUGUGAGAGUGUGUGUGUGGUUUCAGGCAAUGAUUCAAGCAGUUGCUCAAAACCAAAAAAGUCUUUCCACAGCUCUUUUUUUUUUAUUUUGACAACAGCUUGUCAAAGUGGAAAAUCUGCAUUUUCCAACUCUUAGAUCCUGAUGAUGUUGUUGUUCUUCUUCUGUUGCUUGUCAUAUAUUUUCAUUGCAUUUUCUACUUUGUCAGAUCUUUAAACCCUGCCUGCCUGUCCUAACCCUGCUCUUUGUUGCUGCUCAGUGAGCUUCCCCCUCCUGCACAAUGUAAUUUCCGCUGGUCUGUCAUUCACAUUGUGAAUCCUUCAUUAUGUAUCAAAUAGCAGCAGAAUUUCUCAGUGCAACAGCAACAGAUGUCUUCUGUUUGUGUGUGUGCUGUGACAACGUGGAACGAUAGCAUUUGAUAUAAUAGGUAAGGAAAUAUAAUCUAAAAACAUGCUAUGCUUUCAAGAUGUUACGUAAGAAUUCUUUUGGGGCAGUGCUUUUGUCCUGGAUUUUGGCUGUGUGUGUGUGUGUGUGGUGUGUGUGUGUGUGUGUGUGUGUGUGUGUGUGUGUGUGUGUGUGUGUGUGUGUGUGUGUGUGUGUGUGUGUGUGUGUGUGUGUGUGUGUGUGUGUGUGUGUGUGUGUGUGUGUGUGUGUGUUUUGAGGUGCUCAGUGCAGUGCUAGGCCCACAUGAGUGUGAGAUUGUUAGAUGCCAUGCUGAAAAAACUUGUAGAUGUGCAGUAGGUUUAGGUGUUGGCUUUUCAAUGAGUUCUGGCACAAACAUAUUUACAUGCAAUUGUUCCUGGCAAGACAUGUUCAUGGUGUGAUAUUAUAUAAGGUUUGUAGCACUUUUUCUGAAAACGUUAAAUAAAUUAAAGUUUAAAAAAUGGUAGAGGCUCAAAUAGCAUUUAAAGUUGCGAAGCAACGCAGCAAUUAAAUGAACACAGCUACAAAGGUCUACUAUUUGUAUCAUCCAGCCUUCUUGCCGUCUGAUUAUCUGCUCUCUAGAAUGAACUCAUUUUCUUCAAUGCAACACAGAUCACUACGACUUGACCACUUCAUAAAAUCUAAGAUUUAGAUUUAUUUGAUUUAUUCAGCCAGGAUCUUAGAAGUCCAUUCGAUGAAGAUCAUUAAGAUUUUCCAGAAGGAUCCUGUUGCCCAUGACUUGAUUAUUUUAUUUUAUUUUUCAUGCUGAUUAAUUUGAUAUGCAUCUCUUAAAAGUUUCUCAUUUUCCUGACAUCAAACCACUUAACGUUUUACUGUAUGCUGAUUUUUUUUUUCAUUUUCUUGAAAAAAACGGAUAGCUAUUUUGCAAUUACAAUAAACGAAAUAUAUACAAAGUAUGAAAAAUGAAUAAUUUAUGAUGAAGUGAAUUAAACUAAAAUGAUGCCAUCAUGUCAUUGUGCUGAAAUCUGUAUAAAUAUUUAAUUAUAUAUUAAAAUACAUUUGCUAACCUA